GGUCUGAUGGGAACUAAAGGCGAACCAGGAAUUCAGGGUCCUCGUGGACCUGCAGGACCAGUUGUAGUGCAAGGUAUUAUGGUGAGAAAUGCUUUUAUUACUUUAAAUCCUAAAAUUUGGAACAAGAUGAAAAUAUCAAAAUAUUUAUAUGUAAGAAUUAUUUUAUAUAAAGAAUACUUAAAUACCUUGAAUAUUCUUAUAUUCAUAUAUGUUUUUGUGUAUUAAUCUGAAAGGGACCUCCAGGCCCACAAGGCAGACCAGGACCCCCUGGACCCCCUGGAGAACCGGUUCGUAACAUUUUUUUUUUUUUUUUUUUUUUUACUAACAUGCUGAUAUUGCCUUUUUCUGGACAUUCCUAGAAACAUUAAGUUAAUAUCCAGGUACACACAAUAUGUUUGUUUUUGAUCUGCUAAUGAAAAUAGUCGAAUUACAAUACUGACACAGCACUCCAUGGGGAAUAAAAUUAAUAUUUGUUUGUACUGCGUCUCAUUUUCUAAUGUUGUAUCUAAUGCUGCUCAAAAUCAUGUUCUUUUUCAGACAGCACUACCUAUUGUUGGAGACAUGGGGACAUUAUUGAAGAACGCCUGCAGUGUGUGUCAGACCAGAGUACCAGGAUUGCCAGGGCAGAAAGGAGAAAAAGGUUCCCUUGGAACUCCAGGUAUCCCAGGAAUGGAUGGAGAAAAGGGGGAUCAGGGUCUUCGGGGCCCAGCUGGUAAUCCUGGAAAAGAGGGUCCGAAGGUAAGCCGCCCUAAAUCAGAGAUUAGAGAAGAGAAUCGUGUGAUUGGCAGACAUAUGAGCUUUAGCUAUAAUUCUGGAAGUGCAUUUCCUCUGUUACAACAAGGCAUUGCAGGGCAAAUAUAUUACACAUGGUGCAACAGUAGCAAAUAAUGUAGCAAAUAAUGGUUUGCAUACUUGUACAGUCGAGUGCCUGAAUGUGAGACAUUCAGUGACAGGCAAGAAUUGAGGCCAGAGAUAAACAUUAAUAAUAUAUGAGAGCAUUCUUAGAGAGAAACUAAAUCAAAAGAUUGUACUUACUGUCUCAACUAUUUUCCAUCUGUCUCGUUGUCAUAUAGGGAGUGAAGGGUGAGAGAGGCUUUGCUGGUCCGAUGGGGGACAAGGGUGAUGAGGUGAGUAAUCAGAGUUACACGGUGCAAUGCGACAAAUCUAAACUAAUCCUGUUCAGUUAGUGGAGUUGUCUGAUGCAUCAUACUUGACUACUGUACUGCUGCUUGUGUAACUAAAUUUUCCAGACUCUGCAUUUUAAAUGAUUUUAUUUGUUUGACCAGUUUGCUGUUUGCAAAGUAAUUUUAGUAAGUAAUUUUAAUUUUGUGUUGUUAAAGUUUAUCCUCAAUCUCAUAGUUAAUUGGUCCAAGGUUAGAGAAUGCAUUAUCAUACAAUACAAGUAUCACUACAAUUGUUUUUGUCUAUUUCUCUAUUCCCAGGGGUCCCCAGGUGUGCCAGGAUUGCCUGGAUCCACAGGCCGCAUGGGUCCACAGGUGAGAAUUUUCCAACAAAAA
ensembl:lncRNA